CUACGGGAGGCUGCAGUGAGGAAUUUUGCGCAAUGGGGGAAACCCUGACGCAGCAACGCCGCGUGAGUGAAGAAGGCUUUCGGGUCGUAAAGCUCUGUCAGAUAGGAAAAAAGUUCAUAUGUAAAUAGCUUAUGAAUCUGAUGGUACUAUCAGAGGAAGCACCGGCUAACUCCGUGCCAGCAGCCGCGGUAAUACGGAGGGUGCAAGCGUUGUUCGGAAUUACUGGGCGUAAAGGGCGUGUAGGCGGUAUGGUAAGUCAGAUGUGAAAGCCCUGGGCUUAACUCAGGAAGUGCAUUUGAUACUGCCAUCCUUGAGUAUGGGAGAGGAGAGUAGAAUUCCCAGUGUAGAGGUGAAAUUCGUAGAUAUUGGGAGGAAUACCCGUGGCGAAGGCGACUCUCUGGACCAAUACUGACGCUGAGACGCGAAAGCGUGGGGAGCAAACAGGAUUAGAUACCCUGGUAGUC
rnacentral:rRNA from 1 species